GAUGAACGCUGGCGGCGUGCCUAAUACAUGCAAGUCGAGCGAACAGAUGAGGAGCUUGCUCCUCUGACGUUAGCGGCGGACGGGUGAGUAACACGUGGAUAACCUACCUAUAAGACUGGGAUAACUUCGGGAAACCGGAGCUAAUACCGGAUAAUAUAUUGAACCGCAUGGUUCAAUAGUGAAAGACGGUUUUGCUGUCACUUAUAGAUGGAUCCGCGCCGCAUUAGCUAGUUGGUAAGGUAACGGCUUACCAAGGCAACGAUGCGUAGCCGACCUGAGAGGGUGAUCGGCCACACUGGAACUGAGACACGGUCCAGACUCCUACGGGCGGCAGCAGUAGGGAAUCUUCCGCAAUGGGCGAGAGCCUGACGGAGCAACGCCGCGGAAGUAAUGGAGAUCUUCGAGUCGGAAAACUCUGUUAUUAGGGAAGAACAAAUGUAUAAGUAGCUGUUCACGGCUUGACGGUACCUAGUCAGAAAGCCACGGCUGACUACAUG
rnacentral:rRNA from 1 species